UUAUUUUUGAUUUAGUGUGAUUUUUUUUAUUAUUUCUUAAGGAAUUUUAGGUGGAAUUUUGAUUUUUUUUUAUUGGGUUGUUAUGCUUAUAAAUUUCGUGGUUCGAAUUAGAUUAGUACCUAAUUAGACGAAAGUUAUUUUUUUCAGGAGUAAAGUAGGGUUUAAACUGAAAUAAUAUUGGCAGAUUUUCUAAAUUAUCUUUGGAGGUUGAGUGUUAAUUGAGAACCCUCAUUAACUACUUUUUAUUUUGGCUCAUGUAUGAUCGUUUAUUUUAUGCUUAAGGUUUUGAAUUAGAUUUUUUUUAGUUUUAAAAAUAGAUAUAUAUUUGGUUUAUUAGUUAAGUUUAUUUGACCUACAAUUUUUUAUAUAUUGGAUUAUUGAUUUGGUAGUUAGUAUGAAAUUGUAAAAGACAGUAAAAGGAUCUUUAUGUUUUUUUGAAGAGUAUUUAGAAGUGGUACAAAUCAUC
rnacentral:rRNA from 1 species